rnacentral:misc_RNA from 1 species
GAUGAAGAACGCAGCGAAAUGCGAUAAGUAAUGUGAAUUGCAGAAUUCAGUGAAUCAUCGAAUCUUUGAACGCACCUUGCACCCUUUGGCAUUCCGAAGGGUAUGCUCGUUUGAGUGUCAUUGUACUCUCACACUCUCCGAUCCUAUGGAUUCGGGGAGCGGUGGACUUGGGUGUUGCUGCCUUUCCUUGUGGCUCACCUCAAAUGUGUCAGUGCACCUCUUGUUUGGACAUAGUACGGCGUGAUAAGUGUCUUCGCCGGCACCUCGCAAGAGGGUGGCCGAUCGGGAGCUCUGUGCUUUCAAACCGUCUUCGGACAAUUUCUGACAACUUGACCUCAAAUCGAGUAGGACUACCCGCUGAACUUAAGCAUAUCAAUAAGCGGAGGA